CGGCAGCACGGGAGCUUGCUCCUGGUGGCGAGUGGCGAACGGGUGAGUAAUGCGUCGGAACGUACCGAGUAAUGGGGGAUAACGCAGCGAAAGUUGUGCUAAUACCGCAUACGCCCUGAGGGGGAAAGCGGGGGAUCGUAAGACCUCGCGUUAUUCGAGCGGCCGACGUCUGAUUAGCUAGUUGGUGGGGUAAAGGCCUACCAAGGCGACGAUCAGUAGCGGGUCUGAGAGGAUGAUCCGCCACACUGGGACUGAGACACGGCCCAGACUCCUACGGGAGGCAGCAGUGGGGAAUUUUGGACAAUGGGGGCAACCCUGAUCCAGCCAUUCCGCGUGAGUGAAGAAGGCCUUCGGGUUGUAAAGCUCUUUCAGCUGGAGUGAAACGGUGAGCUCUAACAUAGCUUGCUAAUGACGGUACCAGCAGAAGAAGCACCGGCUAACUACGUGCCAGCAGCCGCGGUAAUACGUAGGGUGCGAGCGUUAAUCGGAAUUACUGGGCGUAAAGCGUGCGCAGGCGGAUUGUUAAGCAAGACGUGAAAUCCCCGGGCUUAACCUGGGAAUGGCGUUUUGAACUGGCAGUCUAGAGUGCGUCAGAGGGGGGUGGAAUUCCACGUGUAGCAGUGAAAUGCGUAGAGAUGUGGAGGAACACCGAUGGCGAAGGCAGCCCCCUGGGAUGACACUGACGCUCAUGUACGAAAGCGU
rnacentral:rRNA from 1 species